rnacentral:rRNA from 1 species
GACGAACGCUGGCGGCGUGCCUAAUACAUGCAAGUCGAGCGGACCGAAGGGAGCUUGCUCCUUUAGGUUAGCGGCGGACGGGUGAGUAACACGUGGGCAACCUGCCCUGCAGACUGGGAUAACUUCGGGAAACCGGAGCUAAUACCGGAUAACACCGAAAACCGCAUGGUUUUCGGUUGAAAGGCGGCUUUUAGCUGUCACUGCAGGAUGGGCCCGCGGCGCAUUAGCUAGUUGGUGAGGUAACGGCUCACCAAGGCGUCGAUGCGUAGCCGACCUGAGAGGGUGACCGGCCACACUGGGACUGAGGCACGGCCCAGACUCCUACGGGAGGCAGCAGUAGGGAAUCUUCCGCAAUGGACGAAAGUCUGACGGAGCAACGCCGCGUGAGCGAAGAAGGUCUUCGGAUCGUAAAGCUCUGUUGUCAGGGAAGAACAAGUACCGUCCGAAUAGGGCGGUACCUCGACGGUACCUGACGAGGAAGCCACGGCUAACUACGUGCCAGCCGCCGCGGUAA